AAACUUUCAACAACGGAUCUCUAGGCUCUUGCAUCGAUGAAGAACGCAGUGAAAUGCGAUAAGUAAUGUGAAUUGCAGAAUCUCGUGAAUCAUCGAAUCUUUGAACGCACAUUGCGCCCUAUGGUAUUCCACAGGGCAUGCCUGUCUGAGCGUCAGC
rnacentral:rRNA from 1 species